GAGCUAUGAGGAGAAUGGCGCUUCCUGUGAUGCCGGGGUGCAUCACAACCUUCUGAUUAUCAGAUGACCUCAGCUCCUGAGCUC